CUUGUGCCAGCCGCCGCGGUAAUACGAAGGGGGCUAGCGUUGUUCGGAUUUACUGGGCGUAAAGCGCACGUAGGCGGACUAUUAAGUCAGGGGUGAAAUCCCGGGGCUCAACCCCGGAACUGCCUUUGAUACUGGUAGUCUCGAGUCCGGAAGAGGUGAGUGGAAUUCCGAGUGUAGAGGUGAAAUUCGUAGAUAUUCGGAGGAACACCAGUGGCGAAGGCGGCUCACUGGUCCGGUACUGACGCUGAGGUGCGAAAGCGUGGGGAGCAAACAG
rnacentral:rRNA from 1 species